CACUAGUUGCCAUCAGUUUAGUUGGGCACUCUAGUGAGACUGCCGGUGACAAACCGGAGGAAGGUGGGGAUGACGUCAAGUCCUCAUGGCCCUUAUGGGUAGGGCUUCACACGUCAUACAAUGGUCGGUACAGAGGGUUGCCAAGCCGCGAGGUGGAGCCAAUCCCUUAAAGACCGAUCGUAGUCCGGAUCGUAGUCUGCAACUCGACUACGUGAAGUCGGAAUCGCUAGUAAUCGCAGAUCAGCAUGCUGCGGUGAAUACGUUCCCGGGUCUU
rnacentral:rRNA from 1 species